AAAUAAAGCAACCAUGGGACAUGAAUGGGAAAUAUAUGAAACAUCCAGAGUGCAAAAGAUUCAUAUCCACCCAAAAGUUACACAUUUUUUCUGUUUGCAAGGGGAAACAGUCGCAAAAUUACCCCAGUUUAGGAGGAAAUAAGGUGCGACCACUAUUUCAUAGAACAGCCAAGGUGUGGCCAUUUUUGAACAGCUUAGGAGAGUUCAAUUUCAACUGUCAUUUUAAAAUAUGUAGCCUAUUCAUUACAGAAUUAAGGUAUUGAUUCAGUGGGAAGUGUUUCUACUACUUGACUGCUCAAUUACUCAUGAACAUCCCUGAUAUGGAAAGACAUGUUUUUAUGUAGCCCAGGAUUAAAGAGAAUCCAAAACACAAACGGUCAUGAGAUCUUCUUGAUCAUACCAGGUAAAAGAAUUCAUUUACUUUGUGUUCUUUUGUAGUGCCUUUGUUGAGGAAGAUCAGCUCUUUCGUUUCUUUCUCCUUCCCUCUGUCCUCUCCCAGUUCCCCUUUUACUUUCUCCCCUGCACUUGACUUGUGGCCUGCAGAAUGUCAGUGAUGCUGUAUUCAUGCAGUCUUGUUGUUGUUUGCAUGUGUGUGUGAGAAAGUAAUAUAUAACAUGCACAUGAGCCAUUCUUCCCUACAGAAG